rnacentral:lncRNA from 1 species
AGCUCUCAUCAUCCCAGCCAGUGUAUGCGCAACUACAUUGGCUUUUCUAAAAGUCUGAUGUCUCUUACAUAGCUCCUGAAUUCUCAGGACCAAUUCCCUAUUCAAUUGCCCACAGAACUUAUCUAAAAUAGCUUCUAUAGUUUGAGCACAAUCUAUUUCGACUAUAAUAUUAACCAAAUUAGCUUCCCACCUCAAAAGGAGUCCAUUUUAAAUCGCCCAAAGUUCAGUUUGCUCUACACUACAUCUGCUAAUGUUUCUC